rnacentral:rRNA from 1 species
GAUGAACGCUGGCGGCGUGCCUAAUACAUGCAAGUCGAGCGAACGGACGAGAAGCUUGCUUCUCUGAUGUUAGCGGCGGACGGGUGAGUAACACGUGGAUAACCUACCUAUAAUACUGGGAUAACUUCGGGAAACCGGAGCUAAUACCGGAUAAUAUUUUGAACCGCAUGGUUCAAAAGUGAAAGACGGUCUUGCUGUCACUUAUAGAUGGAUCCGCGCUGCAUUAGCUAGUUGGAAAGGUAACGGCUUACCAAGGCAACGAUGCAUAGCCGACCUGAGAGGUUGAACGGCCACCCUGGAUCUUAGACACGGUCCAGACUCCUACGGCAGGCAGCAGUAGGGAAGCUUCCGCAUUGGGCGGAAUACUGACGGAGCAACGCGGCGGGAGUGAUAAAGAUCUUCGAGUCGCAAGACUCAUUAAUUAUGGAAGAACAUAUGUGUAAGUAACUGGGCAUAUCUUGGCAGUACCUACUCAGAAAGCCAGGGAUAACUACGUG